AUGCUUAACACAUGCAAGUCGAACGUGCCUUCGGGCAAGUGGCAGACGGCUGAGUAACGCGUGAGUAACACACCCUUCGGUGGGGUAUAGCCUCGGGAAACUGAGGGUAAUCCCGCAUACGAUCCCGAUACCCUGGUAUCGGGAUGAAAGCCUUCGGGCGCCGGAGGAGUGGCUCGCGUCCUAUCAGGUAGUUGGUGAGGUAACGGCUCACCAAGCCGAUGACGGGUAGCUGGUCUUAGAGGACGAUCAGCCAGAGGGGGACUGAGACACGGCCCCCACUCCUACGGGAGGCAGCAGUGGGGAAUAUUGCACAAUGGGCGCAAGCCUGAUGCAGCAAUGCCGCGUGUGUGAAGAAGGCCUUAGGGUUGUAAAGCACUUUCAAUAGAGAAGAAAAGCUUAGAGUUAAUAACUCUAAGCAUUGACGUAACCUAUAGAAGAAGCACCGGCUAAAUCCGUGCCAGCAGCCGCGGUAAUACGGAUGGUGCGAGCGUUAAUCGGAAUUACUGGGCGUAAAGCGCGCGUAGGCUGUUUUAUAAGUCGGAUGUGAAAUCCCCGGGCUCAACCUGGGAACUGCAUCCGAAACUAUUUAACUAGAGUAUGGGAGAGGUAAGUAGAAUUUCCGGUGUAGCGGUGAAAUGCGUAGAUAUCGGAAGGAACACCAGUGG
rnacentral:rRNA from 1 species